rnacentral:lncRNA from 1 species
CUUCUUUUUGUAAGGACCUUGGCACUUAUCCUCGCAAAGUGCCAAGGUUAUUUGUUUAUGCCUACAAGCAUGGUGAUAGCGGUUCUUUGGUGGAGUACAAAGGUGAUCUCAUUGCAAAAGAUUUGAGAACUUUCUGCCGUGAAAACCUGCCUCAAUUCUCAAAACGAGUUGACCUGAACCAUCUCAAGUUUUCCUUCGGUGAUGGAGAUAGCUUACCUGGGGUGAUGCUUCUUUCAUCCAAGAAGGAUACUCCUACCAUUUGGCGUGCUCUUAGCGGCCUGUACCUCAAGCGCUUCAAUUUUUAUGACUUGCAGGUAAUAUAGGAGACCUACUAUAAUUUCUCUGUAUUGUUCUAUUAAUGGUAAAUGGCAUACUUGUAUUUGCACUUUGCUGGUUAGGGAAGAAAUCAGAUGUUAAUCUUACUCCUUUCAUUGGCCAAAUUGUUCUUGGCAUUGCAGAAGUGUUUUCUCUAGUUAAUAUGAUUUUGGACCUUCUUAAUUUCCAAACUGGCUAUAUAGUGAAUCCUGUGAUGCUUCAUGCAGGUUCAUGAUGUUUCUGAUCCAGCUAUUAGAAAAUUAGGGAUCAAUGCUCUUCCAGCUAUAGUUGGUUCGCUGAGUAAUGGGGAGAAGCAUAUUUUGAAAGCAGGCAUUUCUGUGAAAGACAUGAACACUGCUAUCAAUGAACUGAGCGCCUUACUUGACGGUUUUGAGAGGCAGAACAAGAAAUCAGAUUCAAGUCGAGCUAGAAAGGCACAGACUGAGUCAGUUAAUGAGCAGAUACCUCUUCUGAAAGGUGCAAAUUUUGAUGACUUAUGUGGACAAAGUUCUCCACUUUGCAUCAUUGGUGCAUUCAGAUCCUCGAGGGCAAGGAAAGAGUUGGAAUCAAUUCUAUCUGUGGUAUGAGAAUUUUCUUUUCUCCUAAGGCAAUAAGCUUUGGUUUUGAUAUUACAUAAUAGGAGCAUAGGAUAGAUAUAAAACACACCUAGCAAUGGGAAAGUAUGAUAUGCAAUUGCGACUGUUAAAAUAAGCUAGUUAUGGACAUGUAUAUAUCUUUAGAUGGCUCUGGUAAACAAUGCUGAAUCUGAGCAUCUGGGAUUAAAUAGCAGCAGAGGUCUUUAAAGAAUGAUAAAUUAGGUCUCAUUGACAAUUAAUAGACUUUUUUGUAUGUGUUAUCUAUCACCUAUGUGAUGAUGAGGAAACGACUCAAUUCUUCUUUUUCCAUGAUUUGUGUUUCAGGUCUCUAAGAAGUCAUUUUCAAGGAAACGGAGUUCAUCCAGUGGAAACCGAGAUUCCAUCUCCUAUGCCCUUUUGGAUGCUAGCAAGCAGCCAGCUUUUUUAAACGCAUUUGACAAGUCAGGAUAUAAAUCAAAUGAUAAGGUACUUGUUGCCUACAAGCAUCGAAAGGGGAAGUUCGCAAUUUAUGCAAAAGAAUUAAACACGGAAGAAGUAGAACAGUUUAUUAGCUCAGUUCUCAAUGGAGAUGUAACAUUCACGAAGACGAGGCAGCCUCCAAAGCUCACCUAAAAACCUCGAUGGCUGUAAAAGUGAAUUUCAAUUUGGAAAUUCAGCUGAAAAAGUUGGACUUUUAAAUGCUAAAGGCAUUGUACGACACUAACAAUACCCUUAAUCUCGACACUAAGGUGCGGCUUCUAGACUUCUGUACAUUAUUAGAGGAGAAGGGUGAGAUCUUAUCCUGUUUACGGCGGUUGCUUACAUCUCCCACUUUCGUGGAAAAUGAUCAACGUCUACAUGUAAAUUGCUAAUUUAAAUCAUAGCGACCCUGGUUUAUAUGCUGUACAUACGAACUUCCGUGACUGCAAUUUUGAAGUAUUAGAAGAUGAGAGUUCGGUUUCAAAACAUUCUUCUUCAUUUUGUUGUUAACAUUUUGUUUCAAUUCAUUAUUUUUUACUGUGUUGCUGUUCUUGAAAUACACCGACGCCAUCAAGCGGACGUCCACUUGAGACGCCAAAUCCUUCGCAGUUAUCACUUCCUGAACAACACAGAACAACCUCCUCAGCUUAAAGAGAACCGCCGACUCAUCCACGCAUUCAGCGCGAAAACAAACACACGCGACAGGCGAAACGCCGGAAACCACUCCCGACGGGAGAUGCCAAUCCCACGGCACAGACCGAAAAAGCUCGGGAGCGAAGAGGAGGAAGAUACCAUGAGACAGGAGCAGAAGCCGGGCCUGCUCUCGAACUUGCCGAGCGCAGCCUCGGCCGGCUUGCGCACCCUCUCGUCACCGCUCAUCGAAUUGGCGGGCAGGGCGGAAGCCGAUAGCACCAUGGCCGCGGCACCUUCGAAGCUCCAGAAACCGAUAGGCGGCGGCAGCGGGGGCGGAGGAAUCGGGCGGGGGUCGGCCGGAGAUCUGAUUGCUGCCGGGGGACGAAUGCCGCGUCGCGGUGGAGAUGAAGUCGAGAGGAGGUCGGCGCCGAUUGAUCGAUUCGUUCGGGUUUUCUCUCUGCGUGCUCGCAAGCGGAGGAGGAAAAAUGGAGGGGAGGAGGAGCGAGGAGAAAGCUGGCCUCGUCUUCCUUCGCUUUCUAGAGAGAGAGUUUACACGACGGGACGCUUAGCACCGUGAUGUGGUGAAGCUUUUGCAUUAGAAUAUUAUUUUGGAACGUUUCCUCGCUUUUGCCGGAAAAUUAAAAAACUCCCUUUUGUAUUUUUGUAUUUUUAUUUUUUAAACAUACCAUUAACUCCGCUAAUUAUUUUGGUUAAUAUAAUUAAAAAUUUUAAACUAAUACAUAAAAAAUCUUAAACUGAUAUAUUUAUGAUAGAUAAAUCAUUUGUUAAAUUGAAUUAAUACCACAAAAUUGAUAUAAUUAAGACAAAUGAAGUCAAUUAUUUCAUAUCAUCCAACUCAACAAUUUAACAGUAAAAUUUAACGAAAUUAAUAGAGGAUAAAUUUGUCACGAGUAUAUAUGUUCGGGAUAAAUUUGUCAAAAAUCUACCGAUUUAUGGUUUUUAGCGGUCAAAAUAUUAUUUUUUGGUAAAUUUAUCAUCGAUAUAUUAAUUUAUGGUUUUUCGUGAUAUUAAUUUUAAAAUUUUCGAUGAUUAAAAAUUAAUUUUGAUAAGUUUAUCUCUUUUUUGGGGCGGGGGGAGUUUACAUGACACGACACUUAGCACCGUGAUGUGGUGAAGCUUUUGUAUUAGAAUAUCAUUUUGGGACUUUUCCUCGCUUUUGCCCAAAAAAUUUAAAAACUCCCUUUUGUUUUCUUUUCAUUUUUUAAAAUAUACCAUUAACCUUGCCAAUUAUUUGGGUUAAUAUCACAAAAAACUCUAAACUGAUACACAAAAAUCAUAAAACGAUACACUUGUGAUAAAUAUAUCAUCCAUUAAAUUGAAUUAAUACUACAAAACUGGUAUAGUUGUUACAAAUGAAGAGUAAAAUCAAAAUUAACAUAUAAGUCAUUUGUCACAUGUAAUCUAACUUUAAUGGAAGCUAAUUGAGGAUAAAUUUAUCACAAGUGUAUCAAUUUGGGGUAAAUUUGUCAAUGGUAUACCAAUUUCGGGUUUUUAAUGGUCAAAAUUUUAGUUUUGGAUAAAUUCGUUAUCAAUGUAUCAUCAGUUUGAGGUUUUUUAUGGUAUUAACUAUAAAAUUUUCAAUGGCCAAAAAAUAAAUUUGAGUAAAUUUAUUAUGGAUAUACAAUUUGGAGUUUUUGGUGGCACUAAACAUAUUCUUUAAACCCUACCAAAAUUGACACCGCUAAAAUAAAUAUAAAAGUCACUAUUCCUAUCCACUCAUGACUGUCGAAUGAGCAUCAAUCACAUCGACUUGAGAGCUCAAAUGACCAUGAUCACUAUGAUGUUGUAGGUUGUGCAGCCAAGAAUCGCUAUGGCCACAAGCUCCAUUAGUCAUUGUCGAUGGAUCGAGAUUGGGUGGGCAUUGAAUUUGGCCGCGGCAAUUGGCAUGAGCUCAAACAUCCAUGACAAACAUGAGUGGAUACAUCUCUCUUGAAUUUUUCUUACUUCUAAUUAAUAUGUGACUUGACGUGGUGCUUAUUUGACGAUGCAUAUGUUUUUUAAGUAAACCAUCUACAUUGGUAAUUCAAUAACCGCGUCAAUAAAACUCAACCAACAUGAGAAAAAGCAUAGCAGAAAGUGCUGCUUUUAAAAGGCAACGGGAUGUUUCUGAGAGCUUGAAUGGGAGCACACCCAUGGUGACAUAGGAAAUAUUUUACCAUCCUUAAGAUAGGAUGAGUUUCAUUUUACCAGUCAAGCACACCUCUACGAGCCUAAGUGCUCAAAAUUAGGAUGAGAUAGACUUGGCCAUGACCCCCACAAGGGUACAAAUGUAAUUUUAUUUCAUUUUAAGGAAAUAUCUCUUAACAACUGUGAAAUGUGGGGAAAUAUAUAUAUUAGAUAAUGCGUGAAAAGUACUAAAAAAAUCAAUCAUAAUAUUAAAUAAUGCAAAUUUGUUAAAAUUUCACAAACAUAGCCACUUUAAUGGAAAAGAUUAAGAUAUUUUAAGAAAAAAAGAAUGACCACAAAUUAGGUAAAUGGGAAAACGACUCAAAGAUAUGUUGACACCUAAAUUUUACCAUUUUUAUUUAGAACUUAAUCGCAUACAAAAUUAGGAUUAGUUGCUAAAAGAAGAAGAAGAAGAAGUAAAGAGUAAAGUAAAUAACUUUCAUUAAAAUGCAUGGUGUAUGCUUUCAUUAAAAUCCAUUAUGCAUAGACAUUAGAAGCAUUUACAUAACUAUCACUAAUUGUUAAAUUUAAAAAAAAAAAAAAAAAGCGGAAUGGAUUUGGUCCAGUCCAUCUCUUUUCUCCCCUCCUCUUUAUGUCUUUUCCUUUGGGCCAAAACCAGCUUCAUUUCCUUUUCACUAAGCCCAGCCCGCAUGCUGGUCUUCUUCCUCCUCAUGCUGGUCACGCUCUACGAAUCAGAAUUGCACAAGUCAGAGAGAGCGUCGCGUUAGACGUUUGGUCCGGGGCAGGUCAGCAGCGGCAGCUGGCACGACAGGAGGCCAUGCGCGCCGGUGCUUAAAAGUGUGAGGGGCUCGAGAGGGAGACCGAGAGAGAUCCGAGUGAGAGAGAUGUUUAAGAGAGAGAGAGAGAGAGAGAGAGAGAGAGAGAGAGAGAGAGAGAGAGAGAGAGGGAGCCUUGGCCGCCCGUGAACUCCGCCUGACGAUCUCCUCCGGUCGACGUCCUCAAGCCGAACUAGUAACCCCCCUUAUUUCCCCUUUUCGGACCUUGUUUUGGGCACGCCGGGUUGGAUCUCGCGAUCGUCCGACUCACGCGAGCUUUGAUCCCACCGGUUCCCUAUUGAGUUGCUAUGUGUUCUAGUUCGCUUGUCAAGAGUCCCGAUCUGGAUUUGAGUCUCAGUCGAGCCGAAAUCUCUCAUUCCUCUAGUGUAUUGCACUUGUUGGAUAGAAAUGCCACAACGAGAUCUAGUCUCCGUGGCUUCGUCUUUGGCUGAAAUCGAGUUGUCCGGGCGCGUCGCGCUCUAUUGUGAUGUUCCAGUGGUGAUGGGUGACCUUGGGCGUCGGCCGUGUGGUCGUUCGCUACGUUCCCAUCGUCACCGUUGUUUGUUCGGUGUUUGGCCAAGGAGGGUAUGCUUGCCCUGUUGGAAAUUUCCUAUAAUAUGGGCUUACAUUAAUUAAUUGAUUUUAUAUUUUAAAUAAUCGGGUUAAUGGAUAUUCCAAUAUUUGUUGAACCCUAAAGUGAUAUGAUUGAAUUGGGUAUUGGCAUCUAUUAAUAACGGGCCUAGUUGAGCAGCAAAGUGUAGACAAUUGUGUUUAACUGAAGCCCGUAAUGGGAAGGGCCCAGUUGACACGCUAUUGAUUAGGAUUUGCUAGGUCCCCCUCUCUAGCCUAUAAAAUGAUAGGUUAUACCUAUCAGUUGCUUUAAUCCCAUUAACAACUACUAUAUCGAAAUAGGUCAUAGAGAGGAAGAUCUGGCAUUUCGAUAGAUCCCUGAUUAUCAGAGUAAUCUACUUUUCUUCAAGUGAAGCAAUGGCUCAAAUAGGUAUGCUUUAAUUCCGUUGUAUUUAUUGAUUUCAGUGUUUUACAAUCAUAUAUGGAUCCGUUUUUCUUGAUUGAUUAGUUGUAUAUGUGAAUAAAUUUUCUACAUGUGGUAUCAGAGCUAGUCAUAUAUGAUUGUAGAACCCAAAUUUUUUUUAGGGAUAAGUGUUCCAAAAGUCCUACAACUUGUCACGAAAGUGCAUUUCAGUCCUAAAACUUGCAAAAAGUGCAUUUCAGUCCUACAACUUGUCAAAAUGUUUCAAACGAGUCCUAAAAUCGACGCCGUCUAAUUUCUUAACGGAAAAAGCUGACGUGGGCGUGGCUUUUUUUAAUCGUUUCUCUCUCCUCCGUUGCGAAUAGUUUAAAAAAAAAAAGCCACGCAUGCAGAACGAUGUCGUCUCCUCCUUUCUUCUUCACCACGACGCCGUCUCCUCCUUUCUCCUUCCCCACGACGCCGUCUCCUCCUCCCCCCUCUGUCUCUACUUCUUCUUUCUCUAUUCUGAGUGUCCCCUAAGCCCCAAAUCGAAUUCGUCCAAACCCUAAGCCCUAAAUCGAUCUCGUCCAAACCCUAAACCCCAAAUCGAAUUCGUCCGAACCCUAAGGCCCAAAUCGAUCUCGUCCGAACCCUAAACCCCAAAUCGAAUUCGUUCGAACCCUAAGCCCCAAAUCAAUCUCAUCCGAACCCUAAACCCCAAAUCGAUUUCGUCCUAACCCUAAGCCCCAAAUCAAAUUUGACAAUCUGCAGUUAUCUUGCGAUUUGGGUCCUCAUCGACCUCGAGUUCGACGCUCGUCAUGAGUUCAUGUUCUUUCCUUCCUUUGACGAUUGCACGUUUGUGUGAAGAUCUCGCUUGCGGGAGUCUCGACAUCUCAGCGGCGAAGUGAUUGGCGUCGGGGACGACGACAGGGUCAACGACGGCGAUGGCGACUCCUCCUCACGCAGGUAUCGCUCUCUGCAUUAUAGCAUUUUGUUGUUUUCCAUUCUCCAAUACUAGUGACAAAUUAGAACAUUGAUGCAGAAGUAAGUUAUGGUUGUUUAUUCAUUCAGUGCAUAUGAAAAAAGAGAUGUUUUUUGGAGAUUGAAAACAUCUCCUAAAUCUCUCAAGUAAACACAUUGCAUUAUGCAGAAGUUAUUAAUAUGAAGACGUUAUGAAGGAAUCAUAAUAUAGCUAAUAUACUUCUAUUAGGUUCCUAUAAUACGAAGCCCAGACGAAUGAGGGUAGCAACAUCUGCAUCAAGUAGCGUAACUCCUAAUGAGGUCAACUCGGAGCCAACAUGUUAUUGUGGCCUUCAAUCGCCAAUUCUUAUGGCAAAGACAAAGAAAAACGCAGGAAGAAGGUUCCAUGGAUGUGCUAAGUUUGAUAGUCCAAGUUGCUGCAAUUUCUUCAUGUGGGUGGAUCCAAAGAUACCAAAUCAUGUGAGGGACAUGAUAGUUGACCUCCUUGAAAGAAAUCAAACAUUGUCUGAAUCAAGCCAAUCGAGGGGUGACGGAGUCGAGGUGAGCUCAUUGCUAGCUGAAAUAAAGACUCAAAAGGCGAAAAAUAGACGUUUAAAGGUGGAGCUUGCACAAGUAAAGAAAGGAAAGAUGCUAUAUCAAUCAGCAUUCAUUCUAUGCAUGUGUUAUAUCGCUAUAUUGGUUAUGUAUAAUGUGAAAGUUGGUGGGAAAUUUCUAAGUCUUCCAUAGUACCUUCUAUCUGAGUUUGUAAAUUUGAACACUAGUUGUGGAUAAUUGAGAUGUGAAUGAAAUCUGAUGUGAGUUUGUAGUUUGCAAGACCGGUUGCUUGCCAUGCGAGAAAUUAUUAUCGCAUUGCAAAAUGUUGCUUGAUUUGUGUGCUUGUCAAUAGCACUACAUGAGCUAUUGCCACCAGAAUAAAUUUGGAACUUCAAAAAAUGGUGACAACUCCCUUAUUAUGCAAUCGAGAUUGUUAAUUGGUGAUUUUUUCAUGAUUUUAAUAACGAGCUUGCCUCAAAUGGAAUGUGUAAAAAAUCAAGUGAAAUCAAAGCAGUCGCCUACAAUACCUAAGUUACCUAAUCAAAUCUUCCAUGAAUCAUCUAAUGUGGGCCACAGAGACCACGUAGAGCAAAACCCCAUCAUAUAAAAUGAAAAAUUAGCAAUAAGAGGUGGUGGUAUCGGUUACCAUUAAUGCCCCUGAGGAACUCGAGAAAAAUGUAUGGGAAAGAAGAUGACAAAAGUAUUGGAAGAAUGAAAAUUCUGCAUGGCCAAUUUCAGUAAUUACCUAUUAACAAUCCCGAAGAGUAAUCACUUUCGUGCAUUAUCCAAACCAAAACCAAGCAUCCCACAUAACUUGUUGAAACACGAUUCAUUGACAAAGCAACAUGCUUACAUUUUCAGUGCACAAAAGGUUCUGUUCAACAAAAUAUGCACUUUCAGUGCAGAAAAGGUUCUAUGCACAAAUGCUACACGUCUCAUACAAAAAACCAGCUAAUAAUUGAUAUACAUUCACCUAACAACACCAAUUUCAGCAGACAUAUCAAUCCAAUAUGAUGGUCUCCGGUGGUCCAGUAGGUUGAGCCUUCACUUGAUUCAGAAUUCUGGCGCUUUUCCUUAUAUAUGGUCUCGCAGCGAUAGGCUUUGGAGGAGUUGUUGUAGCCUGAGAUGACUGAGCCUGACGUUGUAAUAGUGGCAUUGGCUUCAUCGCUACAUGCUUUCGAGGAGGUAAUGUUGCGCGAGAUGAUUGAGAUUGGGAACUUGCCUUGGGUUGUGAUGGUGCCUUUUGCUUGAAACCAAGAUGCUUCUGAGCUAUUGUAGCCUUAGAUGACUGAGCUUCGGAAUUGGCCUAAGGUUGCGAUAGUAGCUUUGGCUUCAGCGCAACAUACUUUGGAGGAGGUAAUGUUACACGAGAUGAUUGGGGUUGGGAACUUACCUGGGGUUGUGAUGGUGCCUUUCGCUUUAAACCAAGAUGCUUCUUCUGAGCUAUUGUAGCUUGAGAUGACUGAGCUUGAGAACUGGCCUGAGGUUGUGAUAGUGUCGUUGGUUUCAUUGCAACGUGCUUUGGAGGAGCUACUGUUGCAUGAUAUGACUGACGUUGUGAAGUGGCCUUGGGUUGUAAUAGUGGCUUCGGCGUCACCGCAUUUUGUUUUCGAGGAGCUGCUGAUAUAUGAUAUGACUGAGGUUGUGCACUGACUUGGAAAUGCACCUUUGCUGUUGACGUAGCUCUUGUGAAUACCCCUUUGUCCGGUAGGUUAACGAUUCUUGCACCAAUUGUAUUAGGCUACAUAAGAAUGAGUAUCUUUUUAGCUUAAGGAGAUAAGUAAUUGCUAUUAUAAAAAUUUAAAAAUAUUACUCACCUUGCGAAUAUGAAGGUUUGUCAUAGGGUUUGCAUCAACACCCAACCCUAUCAUUUUCAUCCUCUUGCCUUGUGAUUCUCUCUGUAUCAUGCAAUUUUCAAUGGUAGGUCUUUUAAACUGAAAUAAUAGAAAAUUCAUUCAACAUCAGAACAUAGUCACAAUACAUGUAUACUUGGGGAUUGAGGUAUUACUCACCGGAAUUUUUUCACGUCUAUGCUUAGCCAUUAUAUUGGCCGCUGCACUGCCUUCCCCUUGAUCCGAACGAACUUCACCAAAAGCAUUGGCCUCACCACUACAUCCUCUAACAUCAGCACUAGCAUGAGCAGAAGCAGUGGCACUACAUUCUCUUACAUUUGCACGAGCACUACAUUCUCUUACAUCUGCACUAGCCUGAGCAGAAGCAUUAACAUGCCCACUAUUGUCUCCUACUGAAUUGGCAUUUGCAGAAGCAUUGGCAUGGCUUUCGGAUCCUCCUUCAGCUACGCUUGUCGUUGCUUUAGCUUUAGCCUGAAUAUAUAUUCAAAGUUACUAAAUUGGAAUCUUCAUAUACAAAACUUACAAUAAUGGUUAGAUGACAACUUACUUGUCUUUUUCCGAGCCUUGGACCAGUGGAAUUAGCCUGAGAUUGAGCAUAAGCUUCAGCUGUACUUGCAUUGGCAUGAGCACUGGAUGUACAUACAUUAUUGACCUGAGCAUUGGAUGUACGUACAUUUGUAGAAGCAUUGGAUGUACGUACAUUGGCCCUAGCAUUGGCCUGAGAAGCACAUAUUAAGUAUUGAUUAACAACAUGUUAAAGUGACAUGCCCAGCAUUAAGAUGAUCAGUUAGUUGAGGAAAUACCUUUUUUAAAGGACAUCCCUUGCAGUUAUGUCCAAUUUGUUUGCAAGCAGAACAAGUCAUUUGCUUACCCUCUUUAGUCAUUCUAUCACCUCUUACAAGCUUAAUCGGUUUCUUCUACUCCUUUUUGGCCUACCAGGCAUGUUCUUCAUUGGUGGGGGUUGAGGAGCUUCUUUAUUGGUUUUAUUCCAAAAUUUAUGUCCUCUCACUGUAGGCAUCAUGAAUUGAUAAGCACUUAGAUACUUUUCCUUGUUGAAGCACUCGGCUAGAUAGUCGGUCGGAUCAUUUCUCUUAUGGGGUAUUGCACAAAUGGCAUGGCAACAUGGAAUUCCACUAAGUUCCCAAGCUCUACAAGAACAAGUUUCUAAAUUCAAAUCAACAACAUAUUUGUCACCACAUCUGUAAUCUCAUAUCCUUCAUUUCCAUUCCAUAUCAAAUGGCAAUACCUACUAGCAGAUGUAUUCUCAUGUAACUUACGCAUAAUCCUUGGACCGUAAUUUCUAGUCCACCUAGCACAUCCAUCCCUCUGAGUAUGCAUUCUAUUCAUAACCAUGAUUCUAAUAUCCUCCAGCAUACUCACAAUGGCCUUGCACCUAGCUUUCACACACCUGCCAUUGAACGCUUCACUCAGAUUAUUAUCAACGACAUCACAUUUAAUAUCGGUGUCAAAGAAGGCUUUGCACCAAUGUUUUGGCUCAAUACGGAAUAAGUCAUCAUGACCUUCCCGAGUCAGUUCCUUCAACCUCUGUCUAUGCAUCUCGAAAUCUGACAUAUUAUUGCUCUUGACACAUCUCCAAAAUUGCCUCAACAACUGUUUUCCUUUGUAUUUUUUACCCCAGUUGGAAUAAAUGUGCCUUGCACACAUCCUAUGCUCUGCAUUUGGCAACAGUUCAGCUACAGAUUGGACAAGACCCUGACAAUUACCGAAAAAAAGAAAAUAUAUAUGAAAACAGAAAGAAAAACAUUGUAAUGUCACAAUCAAUUUACAAUAUAGAAACAACAAAUUAGCAUAAUCCGUUUUACAAUCACAAUGCAACUACACGAUCAAUAGUGAGAGCAAUGUUCUAAUUUGCUGCAAUGUUAUAAUUUAUCGCAAGAAUUGAAAAAUGCAAAACAACCAUAACGCAGAUAGUAAAACGCCGCUAUAAUGUAGAGAGUAAAACACCUUUGCAAAACAAAACAAAAAAAUGGUAAUAUUACUAUGACAUACCCAAAUACUGUAAUGUAGAGAGUGAUACCUGCAUGAGGAGUCACCAUCGCCGUCCCUGAUGCCGCUCGCUCCGCCGUUGAGAUGCCGAGAUGCCCACAACACAUAUCUUUGCACGAACUCGCAAUCAUCAAAGAAGAGAACAUAAAGUUGAUGUGUGUCAAACUCGAGCUCUCUGAACUCCAAAUAAUGAAGAACUGAGGAUGCUAACUGACAUCGUUUUACAUAAUGUAGAGAUUAAAGCACUUUUGCAAAACAAAAAAACUCGUAGCAUUAACACGAGAUACCCAAAUGUUAUACUGCAGAGAGCGAUACUUGCGUGAGGAGGAGUCGCCAUCGUCUUCGCUGACCCUGUCGUCGUCCCCGACGCCAAUUGCUUCACCGCUGAGAUUUCCAAACUCCCGCAAAGAGGUCUUCACAUGAACUCGCAAUCGUCAAAAGAAGGAAAGAACACGAACUCACGACGAGCGUCAAACUCGAGGUUGAUGAGGACCCAAAUCGCAAGAGAACCGCAAAUCAUCAAAUUUGGGGCUUAGGGUUCGGACGAAUUCGAUUUAGGACUUACGGUACGGAUGAAUUCGAUUUGGGGCUUAGGGUUCGGACGAGUUCGAUUUGGGGCUUAGGGUUCGGACGAGUUCGAUUUGGGGCUUAGGGGAUACUCGGAAAGCGAAAGAAUACGUAGAGAUGGAGAGGGGAGGGAGAACACGACGGUGAAGAAGACAUACAGACGGAGGGGGAGACGAUGUCGUGGUGAAGGAGAAAGGAGGAGACGACGUCGUGGUGAAGGAGAAAGGAGGAGACGACGUCGUGGGGAAGGAGAAAGGAGGAGACGGCGUCGUGGUGAAGAAGAAAGGAGGAGAUGACGUCGUUCUGCAUGCGUGGCUUUUUUUUUAAAAAACUAUUCGCAACGGAGGAGAGAGAAACGAUUAAAAAAAGCCACGCGGGGGCCACGUCAGCUUUUUCCGUUAAGAAAUUAGACGGCGUCGAUUUUAGGACUCGUUUGAAACAUUUUGACAAGUUGUAGGACUGAAAUGUACUUUCGUGACAAGUUGUAGGACUUCUGGAACACUUAUCCCUUUUUUUUAUAAACAAAAUUCGAAAUUUUCCUUUUUGAGCCGAAUAUGGGCGUAUUUUUUCAUGUGGAUUUUUUUUUGUUCGAUUGAUCUUGAAACUUGAGGCUUUUGUUCUACAUGUCGAGAUCUUUCCAACCAUAUAUAAUUUAUAUGAUUUUGUUGAGAAUUGAGUGAGAAUUUUAAAUUUGAAAUUCUGGGGUUUAUACAUUGAAAAAGUUCUAGAAUUUUAAGUGACAUUCUAGCGCUACCUUCGUUGUUGUUUGAAUUAUAAACUGUCGAUCAACGUGCGCUCUUUCUCUCGUGCGUCUCUGAUUUCGCAAUUGACUUGCUCCUCUCGGGGGUUUUGUUCUGUUGCCGUGGCGAGUUCGCCCGCAGUCGCUAGUCAACGCCAAAUUCGUUCAUGAUGAGGAGGAUGGGGGUUUGUGAAGAUUUGUAUUUUUGUGGUGGUAGACGGUUGCGAAAUUCAUUCGCUGCGAUCGUGUUGCGGGGAUAAGUCGACGAAGGAUCAGUUCGCGUUCGCCGUUUGGGUGCGUUUGGUUGGGAGGUGCGGUGUUGAUGGGCGUUGCUAUGUUGGAUGAUGGUUUUUGGGUUGCCUUUUAAUUCCGUCUUUAUGAUUUACCAGGGUAAUGUGUUGAUGUUGUGUUGGUGAUCUGAUAACCUUUUUAAUGCUGUUUCUGUUGUUUUGAGUGUUUAUACUGAUCGUGUUUGGUUAUUUCGUUCUUUGUUCACGAUAGAAGAUCAUGCUACAAUAUAUCAUAAGAUGAAAGGCUAUCGGAUUGUAGUGUCAGGAGUCCAGCAUGAGCGUUUUAUUCAUGAAAACAUGCUUCUUGCUUGUGACACGGCCCACGGACAAAGCAUGAUCCAAGAUCGUUCGUGACGGGCCGUGUCACGCACAAGGGGUUGCCCGGGAACAGCCCACGAUCGACCCAUGAGUAGAACAAGCGAAAGGCCCAUGCGCAGCCCAUGAGCGACCCAUGAACGAUGUUCGAGCAGCCCGUGACGGUUCGGCUGGUCGCGUGUCAGACGGACCUGCAACCCUGAUCUUGCUUCUAACACACGCCCAUGGUCUGCCCAAGGCCUGACGCGCGCGACCCCUGGGCUUCUGUGCGACCCAUGAACUUCCCAAGGGCUUGCCAUGUGCAGACCAUCGAGUAGCCUUCGAGUAGCCUGUUUUAUAGCUUGUAAUGAUGAUACAGAUUCAAAAUGAACCGUUGGAUCGGAGGGACAAUCCAUGGCUGAGAUGCGACCCGCUCUUGUAUAAAUAAGGAUCCCUCUCCCACUUUGUAAAUAGUUCGUUCACAAGCAAUAGACACUCUCUUUGCCCAUUCGGUUCUUGUGUUCGAGCGAGUGUGUGCCUAAGGCUAACUUGGGAUCACCGAUCCUAAGGUCGCGCGGUGUUUGAUCAACUGAAAAAGAUCGACCCGUGACAAGUGGUAUCAGAGCCAUUAUUCCCAAACGAAAUGGCUGAUCCUCGCGCUGAUGCUCCGGUCGUUCAAGGCGAUGAGCGUGAAGAUCGUGGGCGUCCAGCCGAGAGGGCUACCUGGUCGAAGUAGGCCCGUGCUACCUUGUGUGCGAGGGAUUCGAAGGGGGAUCUGGACAACCGUCAGGCAGCCUUAGAGGAGACCAUCAUGGAUGUCCAAGCGUUGACGACCUGCAUCAGGCCGUCGAAGGAGCGGAAGCCGGAAGGGAGGAGUUCUUGGCCGAAGUGCAGGAGCUCUAAGCCGGCAUGGGAAAGCUUCGUGUCGAGGUGCAAGGAUCCUUCAUGCAUGAGCUGCAGCAGCAAGAUGAGACUUGGGAAGCCGCGAUGGCGGCCAUGCGGGCGGAAAUGGCGGAGAUGAAGGGUAAGCCUGCGGAGCUUGAAGCAGCACGCGUGAACGGGGUGAUCACCGUGCAGUCCCGUGCCGAUGCACCCAAGGCGAAGGAGUUCAAGGGCUCCCGGGUGGCAAAGGACGUGAAUAACUUCCUAUGGUAUAUGGAACGAUACUUCCAGACCAUGGGAACAACCGAUGACGUGAUCCGGGUGAACACCGCAGCCAUGUAUUUAGCUGAUGAUGCGCUGCUAUGGUGGAGACGUCGGUCGGAUGGUAGGAAUGGCGAUCCUAUCGUGACAUGGGCUCGGUUCGUCGAGGAAUUUCGACGAACCUAUUAUCUCGCCUAUGCGGAGGAGGAAGCCCGAGGGGAGCUCAAAUGCCUAGAGCAGAAGGGCGGAGUUCGUGACUAUGUGAAGCGGUUCUUGGAGCUGUUGCUCCAAAUCCCGUCCAUGACCGAGACGGAGGCGUUCCACCAGUUCAUGGGCGGACUUAAACCUUGGGUCAAACAGGAGCUCAAACAGUGUAAUGCAACGGACCUCACUACAGCCACUUCUGUGGCCAAGUCUCUCGUGGAAUAUAGGCCAGCAAAUGUGGCUAAACCCAACUCUCGACCGAGAGAAAAGGCCACUGGUGGGGGAGAUCGAGGCAGGUUCCCUCGACCGAAUGCUAACAGACCGCCUCCGACCCCUUAUAGGAAUCAACCCGAGUCUAGCCAUGGGGGAUACCAAUGCAAGGUACGCACAUACAAGUGCUUCUUUUGUAAUGGUCCCCAUAUGGCUCGUGAUUGCCUGAAGAGGGGGAAGUUGGCGGCCUUGUGCAAGGAGGACAAGCCACGAGAGGAGGCGCGGUUGGGAUCGUUGCGGAUCAGGCCAAGAAGGCCAAAGAACCUAAAGGGAUGAUGUUCGUAGAUGUGAAGAUCGGAGGUACCACGAUGAGCGCACUCGUGGAUACCGGGGCAUCCGAUCUGUUCAUAUCCAAAGAGGUCGCGAAGAAGCUGCAUCUUCCGGUCGAGGCAAAUGAGUCCGGUUGGCUCAAAACUGUGAAUUCUAGAGAAGUCCUGACCAACGGCAUGGCCAGGGGCGUGGAGUUCCAUCUAGGUCCUUGGACCAGCAAAGAAGAUAUCGAGGUAAUUCCCCUCGAUGACUAUGAUUUCAUACUCGGAUCGGGAUUUCUCGACCGGAUAAAUGCGGGUGUCAUGCCCUUCGCGGAUUGCAUAUGUAUCCUGGACAAGCGGUGCCAAUGCAUGGUCCCAAUCUACCGCGAAUCGGGGCGCGAUCGAAAAAUGCUAUCGGCCAUGCAGCUAUCCAAAGGGCUGAAGAAAGGCGAGGUGACCUUCUUGGCGGCAUUAAAGGAGGAGGGCGCGGAAGGAAACACGGUAUCGGAAAAAGUAUCCCAAGUCCUUGAUGCCUUCCAAGAUGUGAUGCCGCCUGAGCUGCCCAAGAAGCUGCCUCCUCGGAGAGAGGUCGACCAUCGGAUUGAGCUGGUGCCCGAUGCUCGACCACCGGCCAUGGCUCCCUAUCGCAUGGCCCCACCCGAGUUGGUGGAAUUGAGGGAAUAGCUCAAAGAGCUGCUCGAUGCUGGGUAUGUUCGGCCAUCUAAGGCCCCGUUCGGUGCCCCGGUGUUGUUCCAAAAGAAGCAUGAUGGAUCCCUCCGUAUGUAUAUCGAUUACCGAGCAUUGAACAAGCUGACCGUCAAGAAUAAGUACCCGAUUCCCCUUAUUGCUGACUUGUUUGAUCAGCUCGGAGAAGCUCGAUGGUUCUCUAAGCUCGACCUUCGAUCGGGAUACUAUCAAGUGCGGAUUGCCGAGGGGGAUGAGUCGAAGACAGCAUGUGUGACCCACUAUGGAUCAUUUGAAUUCCUCGUCAUGCCAUUUGGCUUGACUAAUGUGUCGGCUACGUUUUGCACACUCAUGCACAAGGUACUACAUCCGUUCCUUGAUCGGUUCGUUGUAGUUUAUCUUGAUGAUAUAGUAAUAUAUAGCCGGACGCUUGAGGAGCAUGUUGAACAUUUGGGUCGAGUUUUCCGGACCCUUUGGGAAAACGACUUGUAUGUGAAACGAGAGAAAUGUGCCUUCACACAAAAAGAGAUCCCGUUCCUUGGGCACAUCGUCCGGGGCGGACGUGUGCUGAUGGACACGGCCAAGAUCCGUGCCAUUGUUGAUUGGGAACCACCAUCCAAGGUGACUGAGUUGAGAUCAUUUCUCGGUCUCACGAACUAUUAUCGGCGCUUCAUUCGGGAAUAUUCGCGCCUCACCGUGCCACUCAUGGACAUGCUGAAGAAAGAAAGGCCGUGCGAGUGGACGGAUUGGUGUCAAGAGGCAUUCGAGCGGUUGAAACGGGCCAUGACCGAGGAGCCGGUUCUUAUGCUGCCCGACUUCACCAAGCCAUAUGAAGUAGAGACCGAUACUUCUGAUUUUGCCAUUGGUGGUGUCUUAAUGCAGGAAGGCCAUCCGGUGGCCUUCGAGUCCCGAAAACUGAAUGAUGUGGAGCGACGAUACACGGUCCAAGAGAAGGAAAUGACCGCGGUGGUGCACUGUCUUCGCACAUGGAGGCACUAUCUCUUGGGAUCCUGGUUCGUCGUAAGGACCAACAAUGUGGCUAUAAGCUACUUCCAAACUCAGAAGAAGCUUAGCCCGAAACAAGCUCGGUGGCAAGACUUCCUGGCCGAGUUUGAUUAUGCCUUGGAAUACAAGCCUGGAAAAUCCAAUUCUGUGGCCGACGCCUUAAGCAGGAAGUUCGAAUUGGCCAAUGUGGUGAGCAGACCCGAUUGUCCGUGGGUUGAUCGAAUCAAGGAGGGGUUGAAGCAUGAUCAAACAGCCCAAGCUCUCCUUCGAUACGCCCAAGAGGGCUUGACGAGGAGAUUUUGGCUUGAGGAUGACCUCCUCUACACCAAAGGACGAUGACUCUACAUGCCACUCCAUGGGAAACUUCGGAGGGAAAUCCUAAAAGAGUGCCACGACUCCAAAUGGGCGAGACAUCCGGGGAUCCACUGCACCAGGGCGCUCUUUGAGGAUCUAUACUAUUGGCCGCACAUGAGGGAUGAUGUGGAGACAUAUGUGCGAACAUGUCUUGUCUGCCAGCAAGACAAGAUAGAGCAAUGGUCCCCCGCGGGACUCCUUGAACCAUUGCCUAUCCCGGAACGUCCAUGGGAGAGUGUCUCCAUGGACUUCAUCGUGAAUUUGCCAAAGUCCGAAGGGUGUCGGGCCCUCAUGGUUGUGGUAGAUCGCCUCUCCAAAUAUGCGACGUUCGUGCCAACAACAAAGGAAUGCCCAGCCGAGGAAGCCGCCAAGCGGUUCCUCAAGCACGUCGUCAAAUAUUGAGGCGUUCCAGACACGAUCGUGAGUGAUCGCGACCCUCAGUUCACCGAACGGUUUUGGACCGAGCUCUUCAAAUUGCUGGGGACGAGUCUCAACCUUUCCACCAGCAUGCAUCCACAGACCGACGGUUAGAUCGAGCGGGUGAACGGGUUGCUGGAACUCUACCUUCGGCACUAUGUGAGCAACACGCAAGUAAACUGGGCACGGUUGAUCGACGUGGCCCAAUUUUCCUACAACUUGCAGCGGAGCGAGUCCACAAACCAAAGUCCGUUCGAGAUCGUGACCGGACAACAGCCUCUCACACCGAGCGCACUUGCCUUGGGGUAUCGAGGAAGCAACCCGUCCGCAUAUAAGCUUGCUAAGGAAUGGAGUGAACACGCGGAUUUGGCUCGGGCGUGUCUGAAUAGGGCCGCGAAACGCACGAAGAAAUGGGCUGACAAAAAGCGAUGGCAUGUGGAGUUUCAGGUCGGGGACUUGGUGCUAGCCAAAUUGCACCUUGUCCUUCGGUACAGAAAUGCGAACAAAGGGCUGAUUCGUCGUUAUGAAGGCCCUUUCCGAGUGAUACAAUGGAUUGGAAAGGUGGCGUACAAGCUGGACUUACCGCCCAAGUUCAGGCUACACCCCGUGUUCCACGUGAGCAUGUUAAAACCGUUUCAUGUGGACGAAGAUGAUCUGGAUCGGGGCACAUCACAGCGAGCGCCCCUUGGGGUAAAGACCUCCUAUGAUCGGGAUGUUGAGUGUAUCAUGGCUGAUCGAAUCGUACGGAAGAAGUAUCGGGCACCAAGGAAGGAAUACCUCGUCCAGUGGAGAGGCCUUCCCGAGAGUGAAGCAAGCUGGGAACCCUCCGAGGCUCUGUGGCAAUUCAAGAAGCACAUCGAAGCCUUCCAUGCCACGGACGCGAUGAGGCCGUCGCCUGAUUAGGUGGGGGAGAAUGACACAGCCCACGGACAAAGCAUGAUCCAAGAUCGUCCAUGACGGGCCGUGUCACGCACAAGGGGUUGCCCGGGAACAGCCCACGAUCGACCCAUGAGUAGAACAAGCGAAAGGCCCAUGCGCAGCCCAUGAGCGACCCAUGAACGAUGUUCGAGCAGCCCGUGACGGUUCGGCUGGUUGCGUGUCAGACGGACCUGCAACCCUGAUCUUGCUUCUGACACACGCCCAUGGUCUGCCCAAGGCUUGACUUGCGCAACCCCUAGGCUUUCGUGCGACCCAUGAACUUCCCAAGGGCCUGCCGUGUGCAGACAUCGAAUGUUUUUUUUUUAUUAGAAAAAACAGUCGAACUUAGCUUGAUUAGCUUGUUCAAUUAAUGUUGCAAUAUUGUCAAUACAUCUUUUGAUGAUGUCUCUAAUGACAUUUGCUCAAGUUGAGUUUGAUAGGAUUCUUUAGUGAAGCCAUGCAGUUUUCAAGGGGUUAGCAGGCACUUCCCUAAAAAUCGAAGGUUCAUGGUCAACCUUAAACCAUGCCAUCUCCAAAGGUUCAUUUUUAGCCUCAAACCAUGUGGCCUACAAGGUUCAUGGUUAGCCUUAAACCAUGCAAUUUCCAAAAAGUUCAUGAUCAGUCUUAAACCAUGUUAUUUAUACGGUUAGUGGGUUUAUCCUUAAAACCACACGGUUAGUGGGUUUAUCCUUAAACCACGGGGUUGGUGCCUUUCCUAAACCACAUGGUUCGUGGGUCAUCCUUAAACCACACGGUUGGUGGGUUUAUCCUUAAACCACGGGGUAUGUGGUUUUUCCUAAAACACACGGUUCGUGGGUCUAUCCUUAAAACACAUGGUUUGUGGAUCUAUCCUUAAACCACAUGGUUGGUGGGUUUAUCCUGAAACCACGGGGUUGGUGGCUUUCCUAAACCACACGAUUCGUGGGUCCAUCCUUAAAUCACAUGAUUUGUGGGUCUAUCCUUAAACCACACGGUUGGUGGGUUUAUCCUUAAACCACGGGGUUUGUGGCUUUCCUAAACCACAUGGUUCGUGGGUCUAUCCUUAAACCACGGGAUUGGUAGCUUUCUUAAAUCACACGGUUCGUGGGUCUAUCCUUAAACCACAGGGUUGGUGGGUUUAUCCUUAAAUCACGGGGUUUGUGGCUUUCCUAAACCACACGGUUUGUGGGUCUAUCCUUAAACCACAAGAUUUGUGGGUUUAUCCUUAAACCACGGGGUUGGUGGCUUUCUUAAACCACAUGGUUCGUGGGUCUAUCCUUAAACCACAAGGUUGGUGGGUUUAUCCUUAAACCACGGGAUUGGUGGCUUUUCCUAAACCACAUGGUUCAUGGGUCUAUCCUUAAACCACAGGAUUGGUGGCUUUCCUAAACCACACGGUUCGUGGGUCUAUCCUUAAACCACAUGAUUGGUGGAUUUCCUAAACCACACGGUUCGUGGAUCUAUCCUUAAAUCACAAGGUUGGUGGGUUUAUCCUUAAACCACGGGGUUGGUGGCUUUUCCUAAAUCACACGGUCCGUGGGUCUAUUCUUAAACCACAUGGUUCGUGGGUCUAUCCUUAAACCACACGGUUGGUGGGUUUAUUAUUAAAUCAUGGGGUUGGUGGCUUUCCUAAACCACACGGUUUGUGGGUCUAUAUUAAACCACAAGGUUGGUGGGUUUAUCUUUAAACCACGGGAUUAGUGGCUUUCCUAAACCACAUGGUUCGUGGGUCUAUCCUUAAACCACAAGGUUUGUGGGUUUAUCCUUAAACCAUGGGAUUUGUGGUUUUUCCUAAAUCACACGGUCCGUGAGUUUAUCCUUAAACCACAUGGUUGGUGGGUUUAUCCUUAAACCACGGGGUUGGUGGCAGUCUUAAACCACACGAUUCGUGGGUCUAUCCUUAAACCACAAGGUUGGUGAGUUUAUCUUUAAACUACGAGGUUGGUGGCUUUUCCUAAACCACAUGGCUCGUGGGUCUAUUCUUAAACCACAUGGUUCAUGGGUUUAUCCUAAAAUCACACGGUUGGUGGGUUUAUCCUUAAACCAUGGGGUUGGUGGCUUUCCUAAACCACACGGUUCGUGGGUCUAUUCUUAAACCACAAGGUUGGUAAGUUUAUCCUUAAACCACGGGGUUGGUGGCUUUUCUAAACCACAUAGUUCGUUGGUCUAUCCUUAAACCACAAGGUUUGUGGGUUUAUCCUUAAACCACGGGGUUGGUGGCUUUUCCUAAACCAUACGAUUUGUGGAUCUAUCUUUAAACCACAUGGUUCGUGGGUCUAUCUUUAAACCACACGGUUGGUGGGUUUAUCCUUAAACCACGGGGUUGGUGGCUUUCCUAAACCACACUGUUCGUGUGUCUAUCCUUAAACCACAAUGUUGGUGGGUUUAUCAUUAAACCACAGGGUUGGUGGCUUUUCCUAAACCACACGAUUCGUGAGUCAUCCUUAAAUCACAAGAUUUGUGGGUCUAUCCUUAAACCAUGGGGUUGGUGGUUUUUCCUAAACCACACGGCUUACAGGUUCAUCUGUAAACCACACUUGUCCACGUUCGGUCGAGACCCGUUUUUACAUGGUGAGACAUUUUCUUUCAAUCGAAACCCGUUUUUACAUGGUGAGACCUUCUUUCCAGUCAGAACUAGUUACCACAAUAAUAAGACUUUCCCAUCUCAGUCAAAGGUUAUUUUCUUACAAAGUAAGGUCGUCCCUUUAUCCCCUUUUCUCAUCGGCAGCCCCUGAUCGUCAUCAUCCAUGGACAAAAUUUAGGUGUCUCUCAUCUUUGAAAGGAAUCUCUUCGAGCUCCCAUUCAAAGAGAGGCAGCUGUUGAUACCUAAAUUUUGGUGAUUUGUUUAAGUGUUUAUUAAUUGCAUCGAAAAAUUAAGGAUUAAUUUCUAACCCCUUAACAAAAAAAAUUUCAUUAAAAUUGCAUUACAUAUAGACAUUAGGAGCAUUUGCGUCACUAGUUUUAAAAUUUAUAAAAAAAAAAGUUUACAAAAAAAUUAAAAUAAAAAAAUUCGAAAGAAAAAAGAAAAUAGAAAAAAGAAAAAAGAAAAAAGAGGGGCAGUUAGGCUGGGUUUGGACAAGCCUUGGGCUGGCCCCUUCCUUUCUUUCCUUUUCUAUUUCCUUUGCGCUGGGCCCGAUACAGCCCCUUUUUCCCCUUCAGCCUAGCCCAUGCACGAGCUAGUCGUCUCCCUCCCGUUGUCCUUCGAUGACCUGUAGAAAAGAGAACAGGAGUAGCAAGGGCGAGGCAAAGGAUCGCGAGGUCAAAGGAUUGCAAAGGGAAAGGAUGGCGUGAUCCUAGGGUCGGAGAUCAAGCGGUUGCGGCAGGCUGGCAGUGGCAGAAGCCAUGCGUGCUUGUCGUUAGCCGAGCUUAAAAGGAAGAGAGCAAAGAGCUCUGAGUGGGGUUCUCGACUGGUUUUGGGGGAAUAGCAAAACAAUCAGCACCAUAGAGAGAAACACGGGGAGAAUUCGAGAGGAAAGGAAGGAAAAGAGGCCAGAGAAGGAGCCGAGGAGCUUGGAAUGUCCAGCUACCGUCAGUGAGCCGCUGACCGCCACUGUAAUCCUCGGAGCCUAGCAGCACAAAGAAGGAAAGAGCAGAAAUAGAGGGGAACGAGGCAGAACACAAAAGAAAAACCAGAGAGAAGGAGCGGGCCUAAGAGGAAAGCGAGCUUGAGAGAGUGUGAGCUCGAGGGAGUGAGGGAGGCUCGGUUUUUGCCUUGGUUGAGAGAGAAUCCAAAGAGAGACCGAGGAUGAAGAGCUAGCAAAAGUUGGAGAGAGCUCGAGAGAGUAGAGGACGAGGCGAAGGGAGAGAGAGAGCUUGAAGGAAAGCUUUGCCAUUGUUAGUCGUCCGCCCGAGAGUCGCCGUUCACCACAGCCCCUCACCCAAACCAGGUAUGUCCCCUGGGCCUUUAUGUGUGCUCUCUUUCUCGGAUACACCAGGCCGGGUUACCUUUUGUUUCUGAUGUCUUGUUCGUCAUGUGUCGAAGAUCCCGUUAUGGUUCAAGCUUCGGUUGAGCCAAGAACACCUUGUUAUAGUAGCGCACCUCAUGUUUGACAAAAUGUCCCAGAGAGAAUCGAGAAGCAACCCAGGUUGAAACUUGGUUUGGUUUGUGCUUGCUCUUAUAUACGUCGGACCGUGCCUGUCUUUUAUGUUUCCAUUGCGAUUUUAUGUAAUUUUCGUGGAGCAAUCAUGUAUCCUUGAGCUGAGGGGGAUUUUUGUGCUCGAAAAUGGUUUGGCCGAUGGUGGUCGUUGCCGGUUGGAGUGGACAACCGAUAGACAGUGGUGGUUCGGCGGUGGAAGGUCGCUAGUUGCUAUGCCGGUGUUGCUAUCUGGGUGAAGUUUUGGGGGAGGAUGCACAAGGAGAUGUCAGGGAGAAGAAGACGCACGGAGAACAAAAAUACGUGGGGAAGAAGACCAUAGGGAAAAAGACAAAUAAGAAAUAAAAGGAAAAAAUAAAAGAAAAGAAAAGUACAGAAAAAUUAAAAAGGAAAAGAAAAUAUGGAAAAAGAAAGCAAAAGUUUGCUUCGGGAAGGGGGAGUGCAAAGAAAAGGUGCUGUGGAAAAGACAAAAUGAUGGAGAAUAAAAGAAAUUAUGAAAAUCAUAAAAAAAAAUUAAAAGGUUUUUCUUUUUUUAAUCGAAUUGGGUCCGGUCUAGGUCGUCAUCAAGUCAACGGGCCAGACUGGGCUUACCCAGUCGAGACCCCUUUUCCCAAAUAUAUUAUUAAAUAUUAAAUAUAUAAAAAUUCAAAAAUAAAAAAAAUUUCCAAAAAAUUCAAAAAAUUCAAAAAAAUUUCGGAAAAUUCAAGAACUUUAAGAGAAAAUAGAAAUUUCAAAAAAUUUCAGAAAAUUUUGAAAAUUCGAGUUUUUUUUAAUAAUAAUUAAAAAAGGAGAAAAAUUAGAAAAUAAAAAAAAUGUCAGAAAAUUCAGAAUUUCAUUUGAAAAAUUCUAAAAACAAACUUCCCGAGCUAUUUUCAUAAAAAUGGAGGUUUCUUAACUCUAAAGUGUGCUAAAAAAUUGAGUAAGCCCAUAAGGCUCUACCUUAGGGCUUCAAUUGUUUUCAAAGACAAUUACUCUUGUUUGCGUGCUUUUGCUGUUUUGAUCCUUUAGUUCAGUUAAGAUUAGCAUUUAUCUUUUCCUUAAUGUUAAAUAUUUGCUCUUCCAUGCAAUUUAUUUAAAUGCUUUCCUUAGUUGCUAAUUGUUACUUUAAUAAUUGUGCACUCGUAUGAUCACCUCACAUGUUAGUGGAUUGGUAUAAAAUUAAUUCAAACAGCCUGACAAAAAUCAUUUCUUUUAAAAUGAACAAGAUUAGGUACCGAAAAGGCACUAAUUAGUCAAUUAGUGUAAUCAAGUCCUCGACCCUAGAUUCUCUAGUUGCUUAGAAAGUGAGGUACACUAUGCAAAAUUCCUAAAAUAUCCCAAUGUCACACGGGGUAUGGGCUUGGGAGAGCCUGCGCCUAAUCAUAGGUCUUAGGCCUAUCUUUUAGGUAAUAUCUCUAAACCUGUUCCCUCCCCCCGAUAGGUAGGUCACGACAGGUUGUAUACGCAAGUAUGUGCGCAUUGGCUAAUGCUCAAAGAUAAAAAUUGGGUUGUGGUGGUAUGCUUGCGUUAUCACUAAGUUGAACCCAUCGCCUAGGCAGUAGUUCGAGGGGUGAUAGUCCGAUUUAUCGGGAACCUAGGGGAGUCCGGAUGCGAAGUCGUGAUAGAGGCCGAGCCCAUGCUCCUUUGGGAAUGCCGUCUUGGGAGAGAGCCCUUGACAUUGCUACGCCUCACAGGGGAGGGCGAUGCCUGGUUAUGCCAGUAGACACCGGCGGAGGUUCGGUUGUAGCCCGAGGGGCAGUAAUAAUUGGAACACGUGUGGAUGCAAGAGUGUAUGAGAAACGUGGCAUCAUUGGUUCCUAUUUUGCAUGAGCUGAUCAUAUUGUUUAUGGCACGCACGCAUGAAUCGAUAAUGUGCAGGGUGUGGCAAUGGCCAGGUGAGAUCGCUUGUGAUGCAACUCGUAUGUGAUUGAUGAAUUGUAUCAUCUAAUGGCCAUGUGCAUUGCGUGUAUUGUGCUGAGAUAUAACGUGCAGGGUAUGGCAUACCGGGUAAAGGUUACAUGCGAAUCGACUAUCUGAUUGUUGGUUGGCCCUAGUUGUUAUUAUUUGUUGGUCAUUGGUUUGUUUGAGGGGUGGUUCUUGAGAGAUACCCCGAGUUGAGUUGGUGUACUAACUGGAGCUUAAGGGGAGGACUUGCUGAGAUUUUAUCUCACUGGUUAUUGUAUAACCACUUUCAAGCCCUUAUAAUGGCGAACCCACUGGUGCGAUUUAGGAUCCCUAAGGACUAGGAGACCGUCGUGAUGCACCACCGCUUCCCAGGUCGGGCGCAUAUUUAUGAGAAGGAUUUCUCCACCAUCUAGGUGGAUGAGGGACUGGAACAAUGGAUACCCCAUUGGUUCCUGGCGUAGUUCAUUUGGGAGGAAGAUACGCUGAUCAAUCCUCUGCGAGGUUUUGACGGGCCGCUCGGUAGAGGCCCUAAGGACGCCAAUUGGGAUCCCAUGGAGUUGGACCCUCCUGACGGUGUAGUGGAGAAUUCUACCCCCUCUCCACCAAUGAUUGACCCGAGCGCCUCUGACGACGACUCGACGGAGCUUGGGUCCGAUGGGUCCGAGUGAUAGUGGUGCCAAACCUGAGGGUUCUUUUUGUAUAGUUAGAUUAGCCUAUCCUAGUUUCUUUUUGGUCUGGCUUAGAGGAUGAAUCAGCCCCUCUGGUGGGCUUGUAAAUCGGAAACGAUCCUCAUUGGUUAAUCCAAUGAAAUUGUAUAUAUGCGAGUGGUUGAUGUUGUUCUUGCUGUUCAUCCCUCUAUCCUUGUUUGAUUGCUUGAGUGUCUGUUUGAUUGGGGGAUGGUUCGUUUUCCGUAUGCGCAUAAUGAAAAAUUAAAAUGAAUGGUCGUCAACGAGUCUUGGGACGUCGUUUUCUAUCGACCAAGGGAAGGGGUUGUUAUGUGCUUGGGGUUCGGGAUGUGACAGUUAGCACCCAAAGGAUAAAAGCGAAUGAAUGGGUUACCGAGUCGCCAUGCCACAAGUGAGUACCCUUAUUCUCAAAAUUGAAUGGAAAACAAAUGGAGGAUUUCCAUUGCAAAAAAGAACUUUUAGCACUUUCUUUAAAAAAAGGAUAAUUAAGAAAAUUAAAAAAAAAUUUCUACAAACUUUUGAAUAUUUUCUUUAUCUCAAAAUUGUUUUCACAUUUUGUGGGUUAUUCAUUUUGAAUCAAAAUUCUUAAGGAGAUUAAUCUACUCAAAUGAUCUUAGCAGAGUGAAAUGGAGAUGUUAAACAUGCCAAGCAGAGGAUACUUAGAAUGAAGAAAGGCAAGCCAUUUCCAAACACAUUAUUCACACAAUUUUGAGAAUUAAGUGGAAAACGACAUUCUCUUAGGACAAAGGAUUCAUUCGCAUUGAAUGCAAAGAUCGAAAUGAUAAAGGCAUUUCCUUCAUCAACCCCAAGCACUGAGCUAACUUCUUGUUAACACUUUGGGCCGAAUAAGGAUGAUUCUUCAAAGUACCCCUAUCAAGAACAACCCUAUAUUGGGGCAACAUAGUAGGUUAUGAUUGAAAUGUAGAGCAAAAGAUUGAGAAAGAUUCUAUAACUUUCACUUGCAUCAAUCUUUUUGUGAUAGCUUUAGAGAAGUUCUCAUUGGAGCUUGACUCAUCCCAAGGUGAAGAAGAUUAUUUCCUUCUUUACCCAACACUAACACUUGUUGCUUAAGCCAAUUCGGGCCUAAUUGAUCAUUUUUGAAGCCCGAGUGGUGAUCAUCUCCCUUCAUUGUGGCAAGGCAUAAGGAUUGAUCACAUACAAUUGACAUUUAUGAGAAAACAUGAAAAGCAUAUUGAAAGUUGUGAGAGCUCCAAAAGUUCAAAUAGUAAAAAGUUUGAUAAGAAAUUAAGGGGGCAUGAAAAAGCAGUGUGCCUGAUAAAAGCAAGGCCAAUGCCCGUUAAAAAAAGUAGCCAAAAUGCCGCAUCUUAUGUGAAAGAAAAGUUACCAAACUAUAAAUGUUUGCAUAAUAAAAAAUCAUCGCAAGUGCAAAAGAAAUUAGAGAAAGGAGCAAAGCUUCAAUGUAGAGAUGAUUAGCCAAGAGACUUUCAAGACAUGCCAUGUUUCAAAAGCCAAAUGGUUUCGAAAGAUUGAGUGACAUGGUCAUGAUGCCAUGGUGAUCACCAGUUCUUAAAAACCCUCUUGAAAAUUUUAAGCCUUUCGAGCCUCUCUCAGUCCAACAUUACAACCAUUUUCCAAAGUCUCUUAUGAUUGAGAUGGUUCAAGUGGAAAUAGGAAUGCCGCAAAGAAGCUAGCACUUGAAGGAGUAGAAGCAAUUCUAUCUUGUCUUAUCUUCCAAUUCUAUCUCUUGUGUAAUCCCAUGACCAAACCUAUAUUGCAGUCCUUUCAAAAAAACAUUUUUGAUUGAUUAAAUUGUGCUCAUCACGAAUGUUUCUGAAAAAAUUUGACAUAGGUUAUGUGAGAUAUCCUCAGCAAAUCAGUUACUUCUCACGCGAAUGGAUGGGAUCAAACAAUCAUUUUAUCGAGAAUAUGUGAGAAACCCUUUAUGAUUAAAAAGCUCUAGUUUUGCAUGCUUAAUAAGCCUUUUUUCAUGAAUAAAAGUUUUUUUGAUGAUUAAUGAUACAUCCCCGAGCAAGAUGACAUUUCUGCGCCACAUGAUGCUGAUUGACAUCGAAUGUUUUUUAAAGCAGUCGGACUUAGCUUGAUUAGCUUGUUCAAUUAAUGUUGCAAUAUUGCUGAUACAUUUCUCGAUGCCGUCCUUAAGGACAUUUGUUCAAGCUGAGUUUGACAGGUUUCCCCAGUGAAGCCAUGUGGUUUCUAAGGGGUUAGCGAGUGCUUUCCUAAAAAUCAAAAGGUUCAUGGUCAGCCUUAAAUCAUGUCCAUGGUUAGCCUUAAAUCAUGUCAUCUCCAAAGGUUCAUGGUUAACUUUAAAUUAUGUCAUCUACAAAGGUUCAUAGGUUCUCCUCAAACUAGGUAUUUCUAAUUCGGUCGAAACCCAUUAUUACACGGUGAGACCUCAUUUUUCCCUUCUUCCUAUGACACGGCGUGCUUUUGUAGCUCAAUGUCUCUAUUUCUUCUUACGGUGUGCUUCUAUAACCCGGGGUCUCUAUUUAUUCCUAUGACAUAGUGUGCUUCUAUAGUCCGAGGUCUCUCUAUCUUUCUAUGACACGAUGUGCUUCUGUAGCCCGAUGUAUUUUCUCUCUUUCUCAUGACAGCAUGCUUCUGUAGCCUGGGGUCUUUCAUUCUUUUUAUGACACGGCAUGCUUCUAUAGCUCGAUGUCUCUCUUUUUUCUUAUGAUAUGACGUGUUUUUGUAGCCCAUGGUCUUUCUUUCUUAUGACACGGCGUGUUUUUGUAACCUGGGGCCUCCUUCUUCCUAUGACACGACAUGCUUCUGUAGCCCGAGGUCUUUAUUCAUUUUAUCAACACAACGUGCUUCCAUAGCCUUAAGUUCUUUCCGUCGACCUAGUGCGUGCUUAUGCACCCAGGGUCCUUCUCUCGUCGAAAUAAUUUAGGUGUCUUAUUUCUUUGAAUGCAACCUCUCCGAGGCUACAUUCAAAAAGGGGCAGUUGUUGACACAUAAAUUUUACCAUUUUAUUUAGGAUAAUCGCAUACAAAAUUAGGAUUAGUUGCUGAAAAGAAGAAGGAGAAGAAGUAAAGAGUAAAGUAAAUAAGUUUCAUUAAAAUGCAUGGUGUAAAAAAUCUAUUAUGCAUAGACAUUAGAAGCAUUUACGUAACUAUCACUAUUGUUAAAAUUUUCAAAAAGAAAAAGAAAAAGAAAAAGAAAAAGCGGAAUGAAUUUGGUCCGGUCCUUCUCUUUUCUCCUCUCCUCUACAUGUCUUUUUCCUUUGGGCCAAAACCGGCUUCAUUUCCUUUUCACUAAGCCCAGCUCGCAUGCUGGUCUUCUUCCUCCUCAUGCUGGUCACGCUAUGCAAAACAAAAGGGUACAGGUCAGAGAGAGGACAGGGUGAGCGUUGCGUGAGACGUUCGGUCAGGGGGCAAGCCGGCAGCUGUAGUUGGCACGACAGGAGGCCAUGCGCACCGAUGCUUCAAAGUGUGAGAGUUGUUUCGUUUUGGGGGGCUCGAGAGGGAGACCGAGAGAGAGAGAGAGAGAGAGAGAGAGAGAAUCUGCUCAACCGCAUGUUGUNNNNNNNNNNNNNNNNNNNNNNNNNNNNNNNNNNNNNNNNNNNNNNNNNNNNNNNNNNNNNNNNNNNNNNNNNNNNNNNNNNNNNNNNNNNNNNNNNNNNGCGAGAGAGAGAGAGAGAGAGAGAGAGAGAGAGAGAGAGAGAGAGAGAGAGAGAGAGAGAGAGAGAGAGGGAGCCUUGGCCGCGCGUGAACCCUGUCCGACAAUCUCCUCCGAUCGACGUCCUCAAGCCGAACCAGUAAGCCCCUUUAUUUCCCCUUUUCGGACUCUGUUUUGGGCACGCCGAGUUGGAUCUCGCGAUCGUCCGGCUCACGCGAGCUCUGAUCCCACCGGUUCCCUAUUGAGUUGCUAUGUGUUUUAGUUCGCUUGUCAAGAGUCCUGGUCUGGAUUUGAGUCUCAGUUGCACCGGAAUCUCUCAUUCCUCUAGUGUAUCGCACUUGUUGGAUAGAAUGCCACAACGAGAUUUAGUCUCUGUGGCUUCAUCUUUGGCUGAAAUCGAGUUGUUUGGGCACGUCGCGCUCUAUUGUGAUGUUCCGGUGGUGAUGGGUGACCUUGGGCGUCGGUCGUGUGGUCGUUCACCUAUGAAGCACGGACACGUUGUCCGUGUUUCCGUGUCAUGUCCGACACAUGUUGGAGCGUGUCGGACACGUCGACAUGCUCGGACAUGCGGUCAACGCGUGUCAAGUUUUCUGACACGUAGUCAACUUUUUUCGACUUGUCUCGACACACGUGUCGUAUGGAAGCGAGGGCAAGGGAGGAGAGACGAGGCCGCGAGCGACAGAGAGAAAUCGCCAGAGAGAGUAGAGACUGAGGCAAGGGCGGUCAUAGAGACUGAGGCGAGGGCAGCCACAGUGAUGCUGCGGGAUCGGUGACGAGGCUGAAACUGCAAGUGAGGAAGGGCCGAAGGCGAGGCGGAGGAGGAGGAGAAGGAUCGAGAGGAAGAGGAGAGGAAGGGGGUCGUAUGGAGGUCGUGCGGCGAGGAGAUGGAGAUGAAUUAAGAGGAAGACCGUGCGGCGAGGGGAAAAAGGUGAGGAGAAGAAGGGGUUGCGAGGUCGUGCGGCAAAGGAAAAAAGUGUUUCGGUAGCUAGGGUUUUGGAAACUCAAUGGGGGUGAAGUGAGUCAGUGACAACCUGUCACGUGGGUGGGGGAGGGGAAAAGAGUGAAAUAAAUUUGGGGUGGGGGGAAAUAGUCUGACGUGGGAAGGUAGGGAAAAAAAAUUGAAAUAAUUUUAGGAGUGGGGGGGAAUAGUCCUCUCGUGGGGGGAGGGAGGGAAAAAAUUGAAAUAAAAUUUGGGGAGUGGGGGGGGAAACCUUUUUUUAAUCGGAAAAAAUAAAUAAAUGAAAUUUAAAAAAAAAUUAAAAAAUAAAAGUACUGAAUUUUAAAUGAUAAUAAAUUUUGAUCAUUGUAAAAAAUCAUAGAUUUAUUUAAACAAGUCGAUUAUAAUUUCUUGUUAGUCAUCGGCUUUAUCAAUAACUUUUGUUAAAAUUAAAAACAUAUUUCCAAACAUGAAUACAUAUUAAUUAUGAAUAUGACUUUCGAAUUUCCAAUGAAUUAAUUUAUUAAUAUUAUUAAUGUAAAUUCAUUAUAGGCUAUUUUUUUUAAAUUAAUUAAUUAUUUAUGAAUUUAAAUCAAAUUAAUUAAAAAUAAAAAUAUUUAUUUAAUAUUUAACGUGUCGGAACGUGUCGAAAUUCUUUACUUUUUGAGAAAUUACGUGUUAUGUGUCGUGUCGUGUCGUAUCGCGUGUCGGUACUACAUAAUCAUUCACUACAUUCCCAUCGUCGCCGUUGUUUGUUCGAUGUUUGGCUGAAGAGGAUAUGCUCGGCUGACGAGUGGCGGUCGGAGUGGAUAGCCGCCGGAGGGUGGCCUGGCGGCGGCCCUUAAGCACCCGUGAGGGUCUGUUGUGGUGGUGGAGCUGAUUCGGGUGUGGCCAUUGUUCGGAUGUGGCCAUUGUUCGGGUGAGCUGCGGGCAAGAAGAUGACCAGGAGAAGAAAAAUUAAAAAACAAAAGAAAAGGCAAAAAAAAAAGGUGCAGAAAGGAGUUUAAAAAGAGAGAAAGAAAGCUUCGGCAAGGAGGAAUAGCAAGAGGAGAGUGCAGUAGAAGAAGACGAAAUAGGGAAGAAGAUAAAAGGAGCGGAGAAAAAAGAAAGAAAAACAUUAAAUUUAAAAAAAUGAUGAAAAAACCUAAAAAAUUUAGAAGAAAUGUCUUUUUUAUCUGACUGUGUCAGAUUCGGGCUUCGGUCUGUGUCAGCAAGUUGGAUCUGGUUUAUCUAGUCCGAACCCACUCCCUCGAAUAUUAUAAUAUUAAAAUUAAAAAAAAAAUUAAAAAAAAUCGAAAAAAUAAUAAAGAUUCAAAAAAAAUUUCUGAAAAUUUAAAAAAACUAAGAAAACAUUAAAAAAAAUUGAACUUUAAAAAAAUAAAAAAUUGCAAAAAUCCAGUUUUUUAAGGAAAAUUCGACAAUUCAAUUUUUUUAAAAUAGAAAAAAAAAUUAUAUAUAUAUUUUAAAUUUCAUUGAAAAUGUUAAAAUUAAUCUUUGGAGUAGUUUUCUCCUAAAAAUAGGAAGCUUUUCAAUUUGGAAUUAUGCCCAAAUUUGACUAAGUCUUUAGGGCUUCACCUUAGUGUUUUAAUUGUUCUUAAAGACAAAUACCCUUGAUUGUGCAAUUUUGGUAUAUUGAAUUUGGCUUCCCUUUAGUCUAGUUAGGAUUAGCAUUUAUCUUUUCAUUGAUGUUAAAUUUUUGCUCUUUCAUGCAAUUUAUUUAAUUGCUUUUCCUUAGUUGCUAAUUGUUUUUUUUAAUGAUUGUGCACCUAUAUGAUCAUUUCACAUGUUAGUAGAUAAGUAUAAAAUCAAUUCAGAUUGCCUGACAAAAACAUCUUUUUUAUAAAAUGAACAAGAUUAGAUACCGAAGGGGCACUAAUUAGUUAAUUAGUAAUUGUGUAGGAAGUGAGGUACACUCUCUCAUUUGGUUUCUAGCCGACCCCAAUAGGCUAGUGGCAACUCCUUAUUGCGAAAUUUUUAAGACACCCUAAUAUUGUGCGAGGUAUGAGCUUCGGAGAGCCCAUGAUCCUAGGCCUAAUCAUGGGCCUUAGGUCCGUCUUUUAGGCAAUACCCCUUAAGCCUAUUCCCUUCCUCAAGGGGUAGGUCACAACAAGAUAGAAUGACUAAAAUUGGUUACUCAUUAUAUAUUUUCAAAAAGAGAUAGAAGAAGAAAUUGACAUGUCAACAUCCUUAUUUUAAAUAUUCAUAUUAUCAAAUAAGGUUUCAUUUGUCAUUUGAGUAAAUAGAGUGACUGCACAAUUAAAAGUUCUAUGAAUGAUAUUGAACAUUGGACCAAAGUUUUUGAAUUUCUUGGGUCAUUUUCUGAAAUUGUAAUCCAGACCAUCAAAAAUUGGUAAUAAAGCAAGGACAAAAAUUUAACAAAAUCAAACGUACUAAAAUAUUGAUAUCGUAAGGGAUGUUAGAGGUCAAAUAUGAAGUAGUCAUUUUCAACAUCUAUAUGCGUUUUGUCCAUUACUUAAUGUACAAAAAAUAGACAUGACAUGUCGAGCACGACUUGAUUUGAGCACAUACGAUAAAGGCACGCGAUAUAGUUUAGAAGAUAUGUAAUUUGUUCUUUACAUGAGAUAUCAUGAGGAACAUUUAAUUUGGAAAGUUACUUAAUUGUUAAGAAUGCUAUCCCCUAUUGUAAAAGAUUACCAAAGACUUUUGAUCCUUACUUAAUCGUUAAGAAUGCUAUCUCCUAAUGUACACAAAAUGGACAUGACAUAUCGAGCACGACUUGAUUUGAGCACAUACGAUAAAGGCACGCGAUAUAGUUUAGAAGAUAUGUAAUUUGUUCUUUACAUGAGAUAUCAUGAGGAACAUUUAAUUUGAGAAGUUACUUAAUUGUUAAGAAUGCUAUCCCCUAUUGUAAAAGAUUACCAAAGACUUUUGAUCCUUACUUAAUUGUUAAGAAUGCUAUCUCCUAAAGUACAAAAAAUAGACAUGGCAUGUCGAGCACGACUUGGUUUGAGCACAUACAAUAAAGGCAUGCGAUGUAGUUUAGAAGAUACAUAAUUUGUUCUUUACAUGAGAUAUCAUGACGAACAAUUAAUUUGGAAAGUUACUUAAUUAUUAAGAAUGGUAUCCCCUAAUGUAAAAGAUUACCAAAGACUUUUAAUCCAAUGGCUCUAUUUGGGAAAUAAAAUAGAGAAGGACGACAAGAAUUUGACCAAAAACUUUUAAUUCUUUUUGAAUUUUUUAUAGUAAAAGUUGAGAAAUUUCGUAUUUUUGGGAUUUUAUGAACCUAAUUGGUUCGAACGUAAAAUGAAGAGUUAAUAUUACGAAAAUCCCAAACUGAUAUAUUCAUAAUAAAUUUACUCUAAAUUCGUGAUAAAUGAAACCGGAGAAAUACUCUCGCCUCCCGCGAGGAUCGCAUUCUGAAAUCUGAGUGGUCGCCGCGAGUGGAACCGCACUCGAACGCCACGUGGACGUGAAGCGUACGCCGCGAAGCAUCUGGACUCUGUCCCCGCCCCCACCUCCCGCCAAAUUUAUAUGAAGCCCGCCCAGUUCGACGUCACCACACCGUCUUCGUCUCUCUCUGCGGGCUUCGUUCACUCGCUCGCUCUUCUCAGCAUCAAUCCGAACGUUUCGAUCUCGUCUCCAAUCCUUCAGAGAUUCCAACUCCAAGGCGGCGUCGAUUCGCGCCGGCGAUGAAGAUCCGCCUUCCGUCGUUGGUGAUCCUGUGGCUCCUGUGCCUUUCCUCCCUGGAAGCAAGGAGCAUCGACCCUUACAAGGUGAGAUCCUUUUAGGAUGCAGUUGAUGGUCUUGAAUUGUGGGGAGGGUUUUGCGUGAGUGGUUCUGGUUUCGGUUUUUUAUGGGAAGGGGAAGGGGAAAAUGCGGGAGGUGCAGGGGCGGUUUGAGGUGUGGUUCGAUUUCGGAGGCGCUGGGAGAUUGGAGGACCGCUUGGAGUGGCCGUGUUGGGAGGUUGGUGGCACGGCGGUUGUGUACGUUUGCGCGAUUAGGUGGUUGAUUAUGUGCAUGAAAGUGUCUCUUUUGGUGUUUGAGGGUUUAGAGCGCUCUUUAGUGACACGAUUUUGUGUAAGAUCACAGAUGCGGUGUAGCAGCGAUCGUAAUAUUUCCUUUUGUGGUAGGCUUAGGGGAAAUUUUCUCAGGCAGUUUGAAAUUUUUGUUCGUUGGUAACUCGAAUUUGGUUUUGACAAUGGUUGAUCGGUUCAUUAGGUGCAGGCAAUAUGGAAAGGUGCCUAGUUUUGCUUCAUAAAUUCAUCCAAUUAUAAUGUCUUUGAUUGUCAUAAUUGUUUGCAAAGACUAUUAGCAGAGGAGCAUCAGACAUUGGCUACAGAGUUCAUUUAAAAGGGAAAUGGUAUAAUGGGAGUUUGGCAGAGGGUUCUGUGGAAUGGCUUCUGCUUUCCAGUCGUUGACAUUGUCGAGCUUUAGACUUCUCUUCUAUAGCCCUAUAAUGUUCUGCCGAUACAUAGAAGAAGGAUCCCUUAGAUGGGUCAAGUGCUGCUUAAUGGUAAUGACAUGCUUUUGAGCUAUAGUUCUACAAGUUAAUUUGAGAUAAAUCACUUAAUCAGAAGAAAAAAAAGUGCCAGAUAUGAUAAAUACCAUCUGUAUGUUUUAAAUUAUUUAUUUCGGAUGUUCUUCUUGAUACUAAGUCCUAAAAGAUUUACGUGUUUCUAUGUGAAUGCCAUAAUGGUAGAGUGCUCUUUAAAUAUGUCAUGUUGUAACAUUUUAUAUAAUGUAUUUUCAGGUUCUUGGGGUUGAGAAGAACGCUAGUCAGCGGGAAAUUCAGAAGGCCUUCCAUAAGUAUGUUUUUCUUUAAUUCAUGUAUCCUAAUUCCUGAUAUUGUACUGUGCAGUUUCCAUGGGAAAACUUUUAUUCUACAUUAGUCCAGUUCUGCACUUAAUACUGUGGCAGUAUGAGUAUGUAUGAUAAUUGGUAGUUGGCUAUGGCAGGGUUAAAUUCUGAAAUUAGAUUUAGUAUAAACUUUGUAAUAACUUUCUGUUUAUCAUGAUUCUCUUCUUAUUUGCAUUUCUCAUUAAAGAAGUACUUUUAGUUUUAUCAUCAGUAGCACCGACUCUCACCUCUCUGAUAGCUGGAUUUGUGCUUCAUACAUGCAACUUUUGAGCCUUUCUUUCUUGGUAAAAAUGGAAGACCUUCACUUUUCUCAAAGAUUAGUCCUUCUUAAGUCAAUAGCUUUAACUGCAAUUUCACGUGGUGCUUCAAUAAGAAACAAAUGUACGUAAGCUUCAGAGGUUAACAAUUGUCUGAUCCUAAAAAAUUGGCUCUCCUCAUAGUAUGUUCGAGAAAUCUGAUUUUGUCUUUUAUAUUUGCUGACAUCCUGUUAAAUAGGUUCUGAGAUAGCAUUAUUCAAAUAUUGAGACUCUUAUUGACAAUGUUCUCUCUCUUAUAUCUGGUGACAUCCUGUGAAAUGAGUUCUGCGAGAGCAUUAAUCUAAAUAUCGAGACUUCUUUUUGGCAAUAAUAUUCUAACAUUGGUAUGGUACUUGAAUGGACAAUCAUUAUUUGGUCAUCGAUACUUUUAAAGUGCUUGAUGAACAAUGGAAAUUAUUUUUCAUAUACUCUAUCUUAAAUUAAUAUGGGGUGCAUGAUGCUCUUUUUCCUUUUUGAGGUCAACCCCGCCAAUGCUAGUAUUGCAAACUCCUUAUACAGGUCAAUAAUUAUGUGGAUGUGUCUUAUAUACUCACACACACACACACACACGCAGAUAAUGGAUAUAUAAAAGCUUUUAGACAAACUGGUAUUGAGGAGGUGAUAACAGAAUGAAGCAUUUUGCACAUAUAAAAUGUUUCUUGAGGUGGUUAAACCUUAUUUAUUGUUGAAUGUGGUUUUAACAUGCCAUGGAUCUUAGCUGGUUUAGUUUGCAAUUUUAACUGCUGUGUGUAGCAUGUAAUUAGUUCUUGGCUUUAUAUGUUUCCUGUCACUUUCUAACGACUGACUUAGCAUAUCCCUCCAACCACCCCCCUCCCCCUCCCCCCAAAACAAAAGAAAUAAAACUGCGCUCAUACAUGCAGACUUGAUGAUGUUUUAUUGUUAUUAUUUUUCAGCUGGUAUAUGGAUUCUUUGCAGGCUCUCUCUUCAGUAUCACCCAGAUAAGAACAAAAAUAAAGGCGCCCAAGAAAAGUUCUCAGAGAUCAAUAAUGGUACGUUAAAAACUUUCUGGCAUUGUGCUUUCUCUGCUCUUUCCUGAAGUGCAUCAUUUUCAAGUUCAUAAGCUUAUUAUGUUGAGCAAAUCAAAGUAUAUCCUUAGGCAUUUAUUCGUUGUGCAAAGACAUUAGAGAUAUGUUCUUUUAUAUUGCUACUGAUCAUGAUUUUGUUCCAUUUUUUCUUGAUUAGCCUAUGAGAUUUUGUUUGAUGAAGAGAAGAGAAAGAAUCAUGAUUUGUAUGGAGAUGAAAAGGGUAAUCCUGGUUUUGAUGCUGGCAAUCCUGGUGGUCAUGGUGGAUACUCUUAUGCUCACUUUGGUGGUUCUGGUGGUCCUGGUGGUCAGAGCCUGUUCAACUUUGGUUUUGAUGAUAUAUUUGCCAGCAUGUUUGGCAGGGGUUGGUUUGGUGGUUUUGAAUCAGCAAGGUCUCAGUCUGGUUCUAAAGGUCCAUCAAAGAGUAUUGGGAGCAUAAAUUCACAGGUGUUCAGGAAAGAAGUAGUGAAUAAAGGAAUGACUUGGCUUUUGUUAUUUGAGACACCCACGUUAAUGAAUAAUCACCUGGAAUCUGUAGUAGAGGAUGUCGGCCAUUCUUUGGAAGGAGUUGUGAAGGUAAUUGAGGUUUUCUGUUUUCGACAUCUCUUUUCAUCAAUUAUCUCUGAGUAAUGAAUACUCAGUUUUAAAAUGCUGCUUGUCCUUUUAGGUCGGAUGGGUGAAUUGUGAGAGCGAGCCUUCUUUUUGUAAGGACCUUGGCACUUAUCCUCAAGUGCCAAGGUUAUUUGUUUAUGCCUACAAGCAUGGUGAUAGUGGUUCUUUGGUGGAGUACAAAGGUGAUCUUGUUGCAAAAGAUUUGAGAACUUUCUGCCGUGAAAACCUGCCUCGAUUCUCAAAACGAGUUGACCUGAACCAUCUCGAGUUUUCCUUCGGUGAUGGAGAUAGCUUACCUGGG